rnacentral:rRNA from 1 species
CAGCCGCCACGGGAAUACGAAGGGGGCUAGCGUUGUUCGGAAUUACUGGGCGUAAAGCGCACGUAGGCGGACAUUUAAGUCAGGGGUGAAAUCCCGGGGCUCAACCCCGGAACUGCCUUUGAUACUGGGUGUCUAGAGUAUGGAAGAGGUGAGUGGAAUUCCGAGUGUAGAGGUGAAAUUCGUAGAUAUUCGGAGGAACACCAGUGGCGAAGGCGGCUCACUGGUCCAUUACUGACGCUGAGGUGCGAAAGCGUGGGGAGCAAACAGGAUUAGAUACCCGGGUAGUCCCUGUCUCUUAUAC